rnacentral:rRNA from 1 species
UACGUAGGGUGCAAGCGUUGUCCGGAAUUAUUGGGCGUAAAGAGCUCGUAGGCGGUUUGUCGCGUCUGCUGUGAAAAUCCAGGGCUUAACCCUGGACCUGCAGUGGGUACGGGCAGACUUGAGUCUGGUAGGGGAGUGUGGAAUUUCCGGUGUAGCGGUGAAAUGCGCAGAUAUCGGAAGGAACACCAGUGGCGAAGGCGGCACUCUGGGCCAGUACUGACACUGAGGAGCGAAAGCGUGGGUAGCGAACAGG